UUCUUAUCAAGAGCGGCAGAGGGACUGGCCCUAUGAAGCCCGGCAACCUGGAUGUAAUCCAACGGUGCCAAUUCCAGCAGGUAUUACCUGAAAGAUAAGAA
rnacentral:ncRNA from 2 species